rnacentral:RNase_P_RNA from 1 species
AAAGUAAGACGUCCUAUCACAUUAUUAAAAAAUGAGGAAAGUCCGGACACCAUAGAGCAGUACAAUGGAUAACAUCCAUCCACCGUAAGGUGAGGAAUAGUGCAACAGAAAGAAAGUACAGAAUAUAAUAUAUAUAUAUUAUUAUAUAUAAUAAAAAAUAUAAGCUGUAGUGAAAUCAUGUAAACUCUGUACGGUGAAAUGCCAUAUAUACCGGAAAACUGACUCGGUUGAUACCGGGGGGUAGGCAGAUAGAGAUAAUAGGUAACUACUAUCCUAGAUAAAUGAUAGGUAUAAAAACAGAAUCCGGCUUAUAGUCUUACUUUUAUU